CGAAUCUUUGAACGCAAAUGGCGCUCUUGGGUUCUCCCAGGAGCAUGUCUGUCUGAGUGUCGGUU
rnacentral:rRNA from 1 species